UUUGUUACUUCAAACCAAUCGGACUUCGGUCUGACAUCAAGUGAUAUUGAACAAUUUAGCUGAUCGCACGGUCUAAGAACCGGCGACAUAUCCUUCAAAUGUCUGCCUUAUCAACUUUCGAUGGUAGAUUAUGCGCCUACCAUGGUUGUAACGGGUAACGGAGAAUCAGGGUUUGAUUCCGGAGAGGGAGCCUGAGAAACGGCUACCACAUCCAAGGAAGGCAGCAGGCACGCAAAUUACCCACUCCCGGCACGGGGAGGUAGUGACGAAAAAUAACAAGCUGGUCUCAAUGAGUUCCAGCAUUGUAAUGGGAACAAUUUAAAUCUUUUAUCGAGGAUCUAUUGGAGGGCAAGUCUGGUGCCAGCAGCCGCGGUAAUUCCAGCUCCAAUAGCGUAUAUUAAAGUUGUUGCGGUUAAAAAGCUCGUAGUUGGAUCUAGGAUUAGGGCUACGGUCGUUCAGCUUGGACGUACUGUAUGCCCGACUCCUUUUCUCUAGUAUUCGAUUGUUGCUCUUAAAUGUGUGACUUUAGUUGCUGGAACUUUUACCUUGAAAAAAUUGAAGUGCUCAAAGCAGGUU
rnacentral:rRNA from 1 species